UACGGGGGGUGCGAGCGUUAUCCGGAAUUACUGGGUUUAAAGGGUGCGUAGGCGGCUUUGUAAGUCAGGAGUGAAAGUUUGCGGCUCAACCGUAAAAUUGCUUCUGAUACUGCAUGGCUAGAAUUAGGAUGAGGUCAGCGGAAUGUGGCAUGUAGCGGUGAAAUGCAUAGAUAUGCCAUAGAACACCAAUUGCGAAGGCAGCUGACUAGACCUGGAUUGACGCUGAGGCACGAAAGCGUGGGGAGCGAACAGG
rnacentral:rRNA from 1 species